rnacentral:rRNA from 1 species
GACAGAGGUGCCAAGCGUUAGGCGGAAUCACUGGGCUUAAAGCGUGUGUAGGCGGGUCGUUAAGUACCUUGUGAAAUCCCCCGGCUCAACCGGGGAACGGCUGGGUAUACUGGCGAUCUUGAGCCACCUAGGGGCAGUCGGAACAAGUGGUGGAGCGGUGAAAUGCGUAGAUAUCAUUUGGAACGCCAAAGGUGAAAACAGACAGCUGGGGAUGUGCUGACGCUGGAGACACGAAAGCCAGGGGAGCGAACGGG